CCUACGGGAGGCAGCAGUGAGGAAUAUUGGUCAAUGGUCGGGAGACUGAACCGGCCAAGCCGCGUGAGGGAUGAAGGUACAGAGUAUCGUAAACCUCUUUUGUCAGGGAACAAAGGCGGGGACGCGUCCCCGGAUGAGUGUACCUGAAGAAAAAGCAUCGGCUAACUCCGUGCCAGCAGCCGCGGUAAUACGGAGGAUGCGAGCGUUAUCCGGGUUUAUGGGGUUUAAAGGGUGCGCAGGCGGUCUGGAAAGUCGGCGGUCAAAGCCCGGGGCUCAACCCCGGCCCGCCGUUGAAACUGGCAGUCUCGAGUUGGAGAGAAGUAUGCGGAAUGCGCGGUGUAGCGGUGAAAUGCAUAGAUAUCGCGCAGAACUCCGAUUGCGAAGGCAGCAUGCCGGCUCCACACUGACGCUGAGGCACGAAAGCGUGGGUAUCGAACAGGAUUAGAUACCCGGGUAGUC
rnacentral:rRNA from 1 species